CCUACGGGCGGCAGCAGUAGGGAAUCUUGCGCAAUGGAGGGAACUCUGACGCAGCGACGCCGCGUGAGUGAUGAAGGUCUUCGGAUCGUAAAGCUCUGUCCUUGGGGAAGAAGAUCGCCUUUUAGGCGAUUUGACGGUACCCAUGGAGGAAGCCCCGGCUAACUACGUGCCAGCAGCCGCGGUAAUACGUAGGGGGCAAGCGUUGUCCGGAAUUAUUGGGCGUAAAGGGUGCGUAGGCGGCCUUUUAAGUCAGGUGUGAAAGCCCACGGCUUAACCGUGGGAUUGCAUUUGAAACUGGAAGGCUUGAGUAUCGAAGAGGGUAGUGGAAUUCCCAGUGUAGCGGUGAAAUGCGUAGAUAUUGGGAGGAACACCAGUGGCGAAGGCGACUACCUGGGCGAUAACUGACGCUGAUGCACGAAAGCUAGGGGAGCAAACAGG
rnacentral:rRNA from 1 species